GUAUCAUGGCUCAGGAUGAACGCUAGCUACAGGCUUAACACAUGCAAGUCGAGGGGCAGCAUGGUCUUAGCUUGCUAAGGCCGAUUGGCGACCGGCGCACGGGUGAGUAACGCGUAUCCAACCUGCCUUACACUCUUGGACAGCCUUCUGAAAGGGAGAUUAAUACAAGAUGUUAUCAUGAGUAAGCAUUUUCGCAUGNUUAAAGGUUUACCGGUGUAAGAUGGGGAUGCGUU
rnacentral:rRNA from 1 species